UAGGGAAUCUUCCACAAUGGACGCAAGUCUGAUGGAGCAACGCCGCGUGAGUGAAGAAGGUCUUCGGAUCGUAAAACUCUGUUGUUAGAGAAGAACACGGAGUGAGAGUAACUGUUCAUUCGAUGACGGUAUCUAACCAGCAAGUCACGGCUAACUACGUGCCAG
rnacentral:rRNA from 1 species